GGAUCUUAGCUCAGCUGGGAGAGCAUCUGCCUUACAAGCAGAGGGUCAUAGGUUCGAGCCCUAUAGGUCCCA
rnacentral:tRNA from 2 species